rnacentral:tRNA from 1 species
GCACUGGUAGUUUAGUGUAGAAUUCUUGCCUUCGGUGUGGGAGACCCAGGUUUGAUUCCCGGCCAGUGCA